rnacentral:tRNA from 2 species
UUCCUUGUAGCUCAGUGGUUAGAGCAGCUCUAUACGAGUGUGUCACGGGUUCGAAUCCCGUCUUGUAUA